UCACCAGGUAGGCAGAAUAGUCUUAUAUAGCCAUUUGUUGUCCAGGGCAAUUUUGCCUAUUAAGUCUGUUUCCUCCCAGUUAACCUUCCUUCCAUGAGCCUCUGAAGCUUGAUGUCUGAACUCAGGGAUGGUUUGGAAACCCCUACUUAGGCAGUCUUGGGUCUUCUCAAAUACUGCAGUCUAAUACCAUGUCCUGCCUGCUCUAAAACUGACUCCUGCUCCUUCCGUCUGUUUUUCCCAGUUUACAGAUCUGGCUUGUGUAUUCACUCUCUACAUGUCUAUGUAAGUAACCACAUUCGCAUUGGCUGAGAAGUCAUCACUUGCAAAAUAGUCUUUAUUGAGUUCAAGAGCCAACAUGCUCUCUGGUCCUUCUAAUCCAGCUGUUCUCAACCUUGGCUGCACAUGGAAUCACUGAGGGAGGCCUUGGUCUGCAGUAAAGCCUACACACCUCCCCAGGACUAAGUACGGAUUUCUGAGUAUAACCAUGGAAGAAGACCCUCGAAAGGGAACUGCUGAGUUAAAGGAAAUGUGCCAUUUAUACUUUGGCUAAAUGUUCCCACACUUUCAUUCCUGAAGUUGUGCCAAUUUAUGUUGGUAGAAACAAUGUAUUAGAGCACUUUCCCCAUCAUCAUAAAUACAGUGACUUGGAAGCUAAGGCCCAGAGAGGAGGAGAAACUUGAUCAAAGUCAAUCAGACAAUGCAGAAUCGAGAAAAGUACCUGGACCUCUAUGCCCAUGCUUCUAGCAGCCAGCCUCCUAAAAUACCUCUAGUUGAAGCCAAAGUUAGAAUCCUUCUACGAAACUACAGGAUUAAAAUGGAAUGGUUACAUGACCCAGGCUUGACCAAUCAGAUCAUCCAAACCCUUUGCCACAGUGAUUGGUCCAGGGAUACAUGCAUGAGCCAGCUCAGGUAAAUGAGACUCAAUUAUAAGAAUUUUGUUAGCGCAAUUGGGAAAAAGAAGUUUUCUUUCCAUGAGAACUAUCAGCUAUAAGAAUGUUGGAUGCUUCCAUCUGCUGGAGUCCAUGAAGA
rnacentral:lncRNA from 1 species